ACGGCUGCUCAGUACCGCGUGGACAACCUGCCCUCGGGUGGGGGAUAACCCCGGGAAACUGGGGCUAAUCCCCCAUAGGUGAUGGGUGCUGGAAUGCCCCAUCUCCGAAAGCGCUUAGCGCCCGAGGAUGGGUCUGCGGCGGAUUAGGUAGUUGGUGGGGUAACGGCCCACCAAGCCUAAGAUCCGUACAGGCUGUGGGAGCAGGAGCCCGGAGAUGGACCCUGAGACAAGGGUCCAGGCCCUACGGGGCGCAGCAGGCGCGAAACCUCCGCAAUGCGGGAAACCGCGACGGGGUUAGCCGGAGUGCCCGUGCAUUGCACGGGCUGUCGGGGUGCCUAAACAGCACCCCAUAGCAAGGGCCGGGCAAGGCCGGUGGCAGCCGCCGCGGUAAGACCGGCGGCCCGAGUGGCGGCCACUCUUAUUGGGCCUAAAGCGUCCGUAGCCGGCCCAGUAAGUCCCCCGGGAAAUCUGGUCGCUUAACGAUCAGACUUCCGGGGGAUACUGCUGGGCUAGGGACCGGGAGAGGCCGAGGGUAUUCCCGGGGUAGGGGUGAAAUCCUGUAAUCCCGGGAGGACCACCUGUGGCGAAGGCGCUCGGCUGGAACGGGUCCGACGGUGAGGGACGAAGGCCUGGGGAGCGAACCGGAUUAGAUACCCGGGUAGUCCAGGCUGUAAACGAUGCGGGCUAGGUGUCACCGGGAGCUACGAGCUCCGGUGGUGCCGGGAGGGAAGCCGUUAAGCCCGCCGCCUGGGAAGUACGGCCCGCAAGGCUGAAACUUAAAGGAAUUGGCGGGGGAGCAUAAG
rnacentral:rRNA from 1 species